CAGCCAUGAAAUCGGGAAGUGUCACCCCAGCAGAAGUGUAAGGCACAUAACCUCUAGGAGGUGGUGGUGCGGAGCGAGAGCUCGACCCUUGCUCGAAGGUCCGGCGAGGCUCGCUACGUGUAGUUUUCCUCUUCCUCAGUCUGAUUAGCUUGCCCUCGCGAAACCUCUUGCGCAUAUAAAGAGGAGCGGCGUCGUGAUAUAAAAGCGAACGCUUUUUCUCGCCCUCCAGCUCCUUCUCAGUGGGUGGUUGAUGCGCCUCUUCCACAUCCUCGAAUGU
rnacentral:lncRNA from 1 species